rnacentral:rRNA from 1 species
ACCCUUUGGCCUGGAAUAACACGAGGAAACUUGUGCUAAUACCGGAUAAGUCUUUACGGAGAAAGCUUUAUGCACCAUUGGAUGAGCCCGCACUUGAUUAGUUUGUUGGUAGGGUAAUGGCCUACCAAGACUAUGAUCAAUAGCUGAUUUGAGAGGAUGAUCAGCCACAUUGGGACUGAGACACGGCCCAAACUCCUACGGGAGGCAGCAGUGGGGAAUCUUGCACAAUGGAGGAAACUCUGAUGCAGCGAUGCCGCGUGAGUGAAGAAGGCCUUUGGGUUGUAAAGCUCUUUCGUCG